UGGGGAAUAUUGCACAAUGGGCGCAAGCCUGAUGCAGCGACGCCGCGAGAGGGAUGGAGGCCUUCGGGUUGUAAACCUCUUUCGCCAGUGAAGCAGGCCAUCUUCUUUGUGGGGUGGUUGACGGUAGCUGGAUAAGAAGCGCCGGCUAACUACGUGCCAGCAGCCGCGGUAAUACGUAGGGCGCGAGCGUUGUCCGGAAUUAUUGGGCGUAAAGAGCUCGUAGGCGGCUGGUCGCGUCUGUCGUGAAAUCCCCUGGCUUAACUGGGGGCUUGCGGUGGGUACGGGCCGGCUUGAGUGCGGUAGGGGAGACUGGAAUUCCUGGUGUAGCGGUGGAAUGCGCAGAUAUCAGGAGGAACACCGGUGGCGAAGGCGGGUCUCUGGGCCGUUACUGACGCUGAGGAGCGAAAGCGUGGGGAGCGAACAGG
rnacentral:rRNA from 1 species